rnacentral:rRNA from 1 species
UACGAAGGGUGCAAACGUUGCUCGGAAUUAUUGGGCGUAAAGCGCACGUAGGCGGCUUUGCAAGUCCCAUGUGAAAUCCCACGGCUCAACCGUGGAAGUGCAUGGGAAACUGCAGAGCUUGAGUACUUAAGAGGAUCGCGGAAUUCCCGGUGUAGAGGUGAAAUUCGUAGAUAUUCGGAGGAACACCAGUGGCGAAGGCGACUGCCUGGACAAAGACUGACGCUGAGGUGCGAAAGCGUGGGGAGCAAACAGG